rnacentral:rRNA from 1 species
AGUGAACGCUGGCGGUAGGCCUAACACAUGCAAGUCGAACGGCAGCACAGUAAGAGCUUGCUCUUACGGGUGGCGAGUGGCGGACGGGUGAGGAAUACAUCGGCAUCUACUUUUUCGUGGGGGAUAACGUAGGGAAACUUAUGCUAAUACCGCAUACGACCUACGGGUGAAAGCAGGGGAUCUUCGGACCUUGCGCGAUUCAAUGAGCCGAUGUCGGAUUAGCUAGUUGGCGGGGUAAAGGCCCACCAAGGCGACGAUCCGUAGCUGGUCUGAGAGGAUGAUCAGCCACACUGGAACUGAGACACGGUCCAGACUCCUACGGGAGGCAGCAGUGGGGAAUCUUGGGCAAUGGGCGCAAGCCUGAUCCAGCCAUACCGCGUGGGUGAAGAAGGCCUUCGGGUUGUAAAGCCCUUUUGUUGGGAAAGAAAAGCAGCAGGUUAAUACCCCGCUGUUCUGACGGUACCCAAAGAAUAAGCACCGGCUAACUUCGUG